GUCAACGAUAAAAGACGACGCUUGCAUGUAAUGCAAUAAAAUGGAUUAUAACAAACAAUGGAAUAUAUCUGGUUAUUUGAAGGGUGUUAUUAAUUUCAGUCGUUUUUUUAACCAUCUAUUCGAGUUUAUAAGAUAGCAAGGAAUUUCGAGGGCGUGAGAUGUAAUGCCACGUUUCCAAUGGUCGUCAGCGUGGCGUCUCUUGUACGAGACACGCGUAGACAGACUGUAUAUCUUUGUCUUAAGUUGGAGAAGGAUGGGGUUAAAGAAGAAAGAGCAAAAGACGCGAGAGGUGGCCAGUGGAAAGCCGACUAAAACCCGAGCCAAGAGAUCUGAGAUUUCGACUUCUAUUCUGGUCAGAGAUGCGAUCCGAUUGCGCUCGACGUCGCGUUAGAAACGCGAGACAAUAUUAUUAGACACGUUGGAAAAACGAAGAAAAAGAAAAAACAAUUUCUAACAAACUUAUACUGACAUUAACGUUUGCUCAUUGAUCAUACAGUUCAAUUAACAAUGAAGCUGGAAAUUUAACAAUAUCAGAAGGAAAAUAUAUCCUACAAUUGACAUUUUAUGUUAUUUUAUUAUCCCCAAUAAUAAAAAAACAUAUUGUUUUAAGGAAAACUAUAAAAUCUUUCUUAAAAAUAUUUCUCAAGAGGAGAGCUCUUUCAAAUACAAAAGAUGAAUACUUCAGGAUUACUUUGCACAUAGUCGAAAAGGCAGAAAGGCAAGCUUUUGUCCGCGAACGAAGAAGCAUUUCAUGGAUGUGAAGAGAGCAAAUUGAAAAUCGGUUGGUCAGUUUGUCGGCAAGCAGAGAGAAGAUUUCCCCAAGUACACAGAGAAAAGAAAAGUCUGUCGCUACUCUCUCACAGUUUCUCUCUCUACUCUCUAGAUCCAGUCUGCUCGGCAGGUGAGCACGUUGAGGAAGAAGCGUUGAGAGAAGAAGGGACUUCACCGGCAGCUGAUUCCAUAAGCAGAUAGGAAAGAAUUUCUUCGGCCUAAAAUAAUGGGGAUGCAGCCUACCGUGUACACACCGCCUCUGUUUACAAACUUUGGCUCACCUCUCUUUUCCUCCACGAUCAAGCUGAAACGCAUCCACCUUUUCUUUUUUUUCUACCUGCUUCUCUUCCUCUACCUCUUUGCAAAUAUACCAAUCGCGCAAUUUUAAAGGAAAAAUAUCCUCCAUGAAUUGUAACUUGUACUGCUUUUUUUUAAAGUAUACAAUAAUAACAUGUAAAAAAUAAUACCUGUAUCCGAUUGUGAGAAAGUUACUUUUACGAUAUGAAACAAUACCUAUUAUAAAUAUUUUUAAACAAUUCUUAAUAAU